UGCUAUCAGGGCUAAUAUAAUGCUAAUAAGAAAUUAAGUUCUCCUUAGGAACUUUUGUAAUUAUCAGUUUUUUAAUUGUAUAUUUACCUCCUGAUUUUUUAGUAUGUUGGAUUGUUUUCUCAUGAGAAAUUUCAACAUGGAUGGGCAGAGAGGCGGAAAGAGAAGUUUUAAAGAAACCAAUCUUUAUAAAUGUGUGAUUAGGUUUGUCCUAGAAAGAUAUCCAAAGGAAUCAGAGAAGACAGUCCAUCAGUUUAUUCAGGGCGUGUUGAAAAACGCACCAGCAUCACGAAAAUCUGAUUGAACAUAUUAUAAUUUAGUUUUUGUUGUUGAUGGCGUGAAAUAUAUUUUUGGUAGUAAA